rnacentral:rRNA from 1 species
UACGGGAGGCAGCAGUGAGGAAUAUUGGACAAUGGCCGGAAGGCUGAUCCAGCCAUGCCGCGUGAAGGAUAAGGUCCUAUGGAUUGUAAACUUCUUUUGAGUGGGAGCAAUAAGGAUGUCGUGACAUCCGAUGAGAGUACCAUUCGAAUAAGCAUCGGCUAACUCCGUGCCAGCAGCCGCGGUAAU